ACGGAAGGCAGCAGUGAGGAAUAUUGGUCAAUGGGCGGAAGCCUGAACCAGCCAAGUCGCGUGAAGGAUGAAGGUAUUAUGUAUUGUAAACUUCUUUAGCAGUGGGGUAAUAAGGGAGUCGUGACUCCUGAUGCAAGUACACUGAAAAUAAGGAUCGGCUAAUUCCGUGCCAGCAGCCGCGGUAAUACGGAAGAUCCGAGCGUUAUCCGGAUUUAUUGGGUUUAAAGGGAGCGUAGGCGGGCCUUUAAGUCAGUGGUCAAAGCGUGUGGCUCAACCAUACCACGCCGUUGAUACUGGAGGCCUUGAGUGCACAUAAGGAUGGUGGAAUUCAUGGUGUAGCGGUGAAAUGCUUAGAUAUCAUGAAGAACUCCGAUUGCGAAGGCAGCUGUCCGGGGUGUAACUGACGCUAAUGCUCGAAAGUGCGGGUAUCAAACAGGAUUAGAUACCCUGGUA
rnacentral:rRNA from 1 species